rnacentral:misc_RNA from 1 species
UUUGCUAUAGAGGAGUUCCCUCAACUGCGUGCAGUUGUUCAACAGGGCUUUGACAAUCCUGAAAAUGUUGAUAUUGCGCUGGAGUACCUUGGGAAGAGUCGUGGAAUACAUAGGACAAGGGAGCUAGCUGCAAAGCAUGCUAGCCUUGCUGCAGCAGCUAUUGAUUCACUACCUGAAACUGAUGAUGAAGAAGUAAGAAAGUCGAGGCGGGCACUAGUAGAUCUCACCCACAGAUUUCACCAGUAUCAGGUGGUGGGGAGAGCUCUACCUUCUGAGUCAGAUGAGCAUCCGAAGAUUUAUCGGAACAAGCUCUGGAGCACCAACGAGGUCCGUGCCAAAUCAAAGUUUUGGUAUUUCCUAAGGAAGCUGAAGAAGGUUAAGAAGAGCAAUGGGCAAGUUUUAGCAAUCAAUGAGGUAAUUUACCACUUGUUUGAUGUCUGAACUGUCAAAUAUAUGCAACUUUCAGUGUGCUGCUUUAAUUUUACAUCUCUUGUUACGAAACAUCAUUUGAUUUACGUAUCUGUAUGUUAAAGAUGGUUUUUUGGUCCUUGAAGAUAUGGGGUGGAUUCUGUGUUACUUGAAGGUCUGGUUGAGGUACUGGAGUAGUUUUGAGGAUAGGAUCAUAUUUGAAUCUCUUCAUUCAAGGUAUGGCUAACUAUCAAGUAAAAAAUAAUUAGUGGGAAUAAAAAAGUAUGGAGAUCUCAUCUCCUCUUUUGUGGGAUAAUAAAGUACUUGAAGAAGUUUUACAAUGGAUUGCUAACAUAACAGACCUCAGUUUUACAUUGACAAGAUAAAGACCCUUGCAAUUUUAGUUAGUUUAUUGUUAUGCAUAUUUCUGAUGUGUCUUUUAUUGUGUGUGCUCUAAUUAUAUUUAUUUUACACUGCCAUGCUUUUCUAAUUUAUUAGACUGAAUUUGGUUUGCACAACAUAAACAUGUGAGAUUGUAUUUAUUCUUUUGACGUAUGUUUAUUAUAUGUUGUGAUGCCAUUCUGAACCUUUUUGUUAUUGUUAAUACCUGUGCAAAUUGUUGAGUUAACAUUAGCCUUUGAAGAGAUUGUGGAAGUUAAAGGAUUGCGGUAGUUAAAGGAUUGACGUAGUUCCCCAUUCCUUGUGCAAAAAGCUAUCAAAUCUACAAAAUAAAACUAGUGGACAAAUUGAAUCCUGUAGAUGAUUUCCUUCCACUUUCCUAUUUCCGCCAAAUUCUCUUCCUCCUUAACCUUUUUUCCCUGCUUUUUUCUCUGGUUAUGGUAAUUUGGAGUAGUGUGUGUGCGUAGCGUACGUGUGGUAUGGUAUUGAAUAUGGACAGGAUGAGUAGACACGGCUUGAGAGACACUC